GAGAAUCAUAUAUUCACAGAGUCUAACAUGUUAGUCAAAUCAAUUCAAGUUUUUCUUAAUGCCCUUAAUGAACUUCGUUUAUGUCAUAUAAUGGAAAGAUCUUCUUUUCUUCCAUCAAAGCUAGAAAGUUCUAAGGUAAUUGUGUGCAGAUCAUUCAUAUAGUUGUUCUGUAUAAUGGUUUUUGAGUUUUCAUGUUGUCACAGCUUCUAAUUGAUAAAUAUAUAUAUAUUUUUCUUCUUGUGCCAAGUCUUCUACUUAUGGCUCUAAAAUCCAUUCUACUUCUGGAAAGGCUAGAUACUCAGCGUGGACUGGAAAUUCAAUGUUAACUGCGUUAUGGAACAAGGUUAUUUUAUCAUGAACUUUUGAUCACAAAAAUCACAGUGCUUUGCUCUUUGAAAUCUUUAACAUAAAAACUUGGGUUCAGUUAAGUUUAAGGCCUUAAUAAGUUCAUGGUGUUUAUCAUGGUUCUCAUAGUCUGAUACGUGUUGUUUUAUUUAUUUGUUAUUUCUUGGUCAUAUUUUUUUGGUCUUUGGUUGGAGAGAAAUAGCAGCGCGUUUUGAUGGAGAAGAAAUUCUCUUAUGGAAUUGAAAGCUAGAUUUUUGUUUAUUGGCUUUCCAUUGAUUAUCUUGUUGUUGCGAAGUCAGCAGUUGUUUGUGGCUUGUACUUCACUGCUGUUAUGUAUGUAGAGCAUUGGUGUGAAGAGAUUUCAAGAGCCUCACACUAG